UACGUAGGGUGCGAGCGUUAAUCGGAAUUACUGGGCGUAAAGCGUGCGCAGGCGGUUUUGUAAGCCAGAUGUGAAAUCCCCGGGCUUAACCUGGGAAUGGCAUUUGGGACUGCAAGGCUCGAGUGCGGCAGAGGAGACUGGAAUUCCUGGUGUAGCAGUGAAAUGCGUAGAUAUCAGGAGGAACACCGAUGGCGAAGGCAGGUCUCUGGGCCACUACUGACGCUGAGAAGCAAAAGCAUGGGGAGCGAACAGG
rnacentral:rRNA from 1 species